CAAAUGACUCUCGGCAACGGAUAUCUCGGCUCACGCAUCGAUGAAGAACGUAGCAAAAUGCGAUACUUGGUGUGAAUUGCAGAAUCCCGUGAACCAUCGAGUUUUUGAACGCAAGUUGCGCCCAAAGCCAUCCGGCCGAGGGCACGCCUGCCUGGGCGUCACGC
rnacentral:rRNA from 1 species